UCUGGAUCGUUACCUAAGACCUUACCGAACGUCCUAACUAAUAUGGCGGGCUCAUGACUUAUGCGUUCAAAAGCAUUUCGGCGAAUCACACAAGACAUAUCCCAGAACACAUAGAGACGAAAGAAGAAAAAAAGUCAAAGUUAAAAAGAUUUUGAUUUCAUUGAUGCUCGAGCUAAGUUUACAAAAUUAGACCGAAGCCCG
rnacentral:lncRNA from 1 species